GACGAACGCUGGCGGCGUGCUUAACACAUGCAAGUCGAACGGAAAGGCCCUGCUUUUGUGGGGUGCUCGAGUGGCGAACGGGUGAGUAACACGUUAGUAACCUGCCCUUGACUUUGGUAUAACUUCAGGAAACUGGGGCUAAUACCGGAUAGGAGCUCCUGCUGCAUGGUGGGGGUUGGAAAGUUUCGGCGGUUGGGGAUGGACUCGCGGCUUAUCAGCUUGUUGGUGGGGUAGUGGCUUACCAAGGCUUUGACGGGUAGCCGGCCUGAGAGGGUGACCGGCCACAUUGGGACUGAGAUACGGCCCAGACUCCUACGGGAGGCAGCAGUGGGGAAUAUUGCACAAUGGGCGGAAGCCUGAUGCAGCAACGCCGCGUGCGGGAUGACGGCCUUCGGGUUGUAAACCGCUUUCGCCUGUGACGAAGCGUGAGUGACGGUAAUGGGUAAAGAAGCACCGGCUAACUACGUG
rnacentral:rRNA from 1 species